UAUGGCUGGAAUAAGAUUAGAAGUAAAAGGUAGAUUAACUAAACGUUAUAGAGCUGAUAGAUCUAUUUCUAUAUUGAAAUGAAAAGGUGGAUUAAAAAAUAGAGAUUCAUCAUUUCAAGGUUUAAGUUCAGUAUUAUUUAGAGGAAAUACUAAAUCAAAUAUAAGUUAUUCAUUAGCAACUAAUAAACGUCGUGUAGGAUCUUUUGCUGUAAAAGGAUGAAUAGCAGGUAAAUAAAAAUUAAAGGAUACUUAAAUAUGAUAAAAUUCAAAAUGAAGACAUAGUCUGAACCAUUUUGCAAGAAAUGGAAAUAAAAAAAUGAUAACAUAUAGAACAGGCUAAUUUGCGCAAGAGUGUACAAAAUGAGUGCGCGGUUUGGCACCUCGAUGUCGGCUUAACUUAUCCUCAUGGAUGCAGAAACUAUGUAGGGUGCGACUGUUCGUCGAUUAAAAAGUUACAUGAGCUGGGUUAAAUACGUCGUGAGACAGUAUGGUUUCUAUCUUCUAGAGGGAAUUAGAAUAAAAUAAGAACGAACUUUUGUACGAAAGGAACGAGAAAAAUUUGACUUUAAAAGGUUAAAUAAUAGUUACUAACCUAUGGUUUACCUGUUGUUUAUGUACCCAAAUAUUAAAUAUAUAUAAUUUAUUAUAUAUAUCUAUACAUAUUAUGUAUAAAGGGAUGUUUCUAUCACUAAGAUAAAUAUAUAGCAUAAGCACGGCAGGAAAGCUAAGUUGGUUAAGGAUAAGUGCUGAAAGCAUAUAGGCACGAAGCUUAUCUUAAGAUAUUUCUUAAAUAUACGUAAUAUAAUAUUACGAAAGCUUAGUAAGCUAUCAUAGGCUUUAUCCGUAAGAAUCACGAGAUUUUUAAGAUUAAAGUACUAAUUUAAUAAAUUACUAAAUAUA
rnacentral:ncRNA from 1 species